CAGCAGCCGCGGUAAUACGGAGGGGGCUAGCGUUGUUCGGAAUUACUGGGCGUAAAGCGCACGUAGGCGGCUUGGUAAGUUAGAGGUGAAAGCCUGGAGCUCAACUCCAGAAUUGCCUUUAAGACUGCCGAGCUAGCAGGUGAGAGAGGUAAGUGGAAUUCCGAGUGUAGAGGUGAAAUUCGUAGAUAUUCGGAAGAACACCAGUGGCGAAGGCGGCUUACUGGCUCAUACUGGACGCUGAGGUGCGAAAGCGUGGGGAGCAAACAGGAUUAGAUACCCCGGUAGUCCCUGUCUCUUAUAC
rnacentral:rRNA from 1 species